GAAACCAACUGGGAUUACCUUAGUAACGGCGAGUGAAGCGGUAAAAGCUCAAAUUUGAAAUCUGGUACUUUCAGUGCCCGAGUCGUAAUUUGUAGAAUUUGUCUUUGAUUAGGUCCUUGUCUAUGUUCCUUGGAACAGGACGUCAUAGAGGGUGAGAAUCCCGUUUGGCGAGGAUACCUUUUCUCUGUAAGACUUUUUCGAAGAGUCGAGUUGUUUGGGAAUGCAGCUCAAAGUGGGUGGUAAAUUCCAUCUAAAGCUAAAUAUUGGCGAGAGACCGAUAGCGAACAAGUACAGUGAUGGAAAGAUGAAAAGAACUUUGAAAAGAGAGUGAAAAAGUACGUGAAAUUGUUGAAAGGGAAGGGCAUUUGAUCAGACAUGGUGUUUUUGCAUGCACUCGCCUCUCGUGGGCUUGGGCCUCUCAAAAAUUUCACUGGGCCAACAUCAAUUCUGGCAGCAGGAUAAAUCAUUAAGAAUGUAGCUACUUCGGUAGUGUUAUAGCUUUUUGGAAUACUGUUAGCCGGGAUUGA
rnacentral:rRNA from 1 species